rnacentral:tRNA from 1 species
CGGGAACGACCGGCUCGGUGACCGGACCUGGCCUGGGACCAGGAAGUGCGGGGUUCGACUCCCCGGUUCCCGAC